CAGUCGCCACGGUAAUACGUAGGUCCCGAGCGUUGUCCGGAUUUAUUGGGCGUAAAGCGAGCGCAGGCGGUUAGAUAAGUCUGAAGUUAAAGGCUGUGGCUUAACCAUAGUACGCUUUGGAAACUGUUUAACUUGAGUGCAAGAGGGGAGAGUGGAAUUCCAUGUGUAGCGGUGAAAUGCGUAGAUAUAUGGAGGAACACCGGUGGCGAAAGCGGCUCUCUGGCUUGUAACUGACGCUGAGGCUCGAAAGCAUGGGGAGCAAACAGGAUUAGAUACCCCCGUAGUCCCUGUCUCUUAUACA
rnacentral:rRNA from 1 species